GACCAGAAACUGGUAUGUAUAUCUUGAGUUCAGUGAAUUUUAAAUAUUCUUUAGUUAGCACAAAGCUUUUAUUCUUUGCAGAACAAUGUUGGAAACUAACAUUAGUCAUGUAACCUUUGAAAUCACAGCACUGUAAAAAAGAAAAUUGAAUAUAAAUUAUUUCUUAGACUCCCAUUUUUACAGUUUAAAUACUAAAGUAUGAGAAACUCAAUUUGAUAUACUCUGACUAGAUUAUCACUCCAUGAUGCAGAUUUCAAGGACACUGUUAUGAUAAAAAGUGCACAUUAAUUCAAGACACAUCUCACACUUCCCAAUAUGUGAUUUAUGGUUUAAAAUAUUCGUUGCUCUUUUGCUGAAUUUUUAAUGGCUUUAUUUUAACUAUUUUCAUAGCUGUAGAUUUCAUUUGGAUGCAAACACAAAAUUUUAUAUAUUUCUUGGAAAGUAAGUGGAAAUGGGGGAGAAGAGUUUUUGAUGAUACUCUGA
rnacentral:lncRNA from 1 species